UAUGUUACGGCCAGAACGAUUCCCAAGGAUCAUAAGAUAUACUUUCAUGACGAUUACAAUAGAUAAUUAUUGUUCUCCUAGGCGUCAGACAUGAACGGAUUGGCUUUGAGUAUUGUCUUCUGUGCUGUUAUAGCCACAGUGACAUCUGAAAACUGUAACGUAACAUCGGAUUCAUGUACACAUAUUGAUUGCGUCAACGGUGCAACUGAUACCUGCAUAGAUGGGAUUUGUUCAUGUCGCCACGAAACUCAACCCUUUGCGUGCAACACCGCCAGUGACUGUCAUAUCCACUACGGCGACGCCGGGUGCCCACAUAGCAUUUGGGUGUGUUACAACGACCAAACAUGUCAUUGUUUCCAUUUUAAUGUGGGUAAAUGAACCCAUCUGGUGACGUUUUCACUUAUUAAAACAAUGUAUACACCCUA